GGUGGGAUGGCCGAGCGGUUUAAGGCAGCGGUCUUGAAAACCGCCGUUGUCGUAAGGCAACCGUGAGUUCGAAUCUCACUCCCACCGCCA
rnacentral:tRNA from 1 species